rnacentral:rRNA from 1 species
GCUUACGGCCAUACCAGCCUGGGUACGCCUUAUCUCGUCUGAUCUCGGAAGCUGAGCAGGGUCGGGCCUGGUUAGUACUUGGUUGGGAGACCGCCUGGGAAUACCAGGUGCUGUAAGCA